rnacentral:rRNA from 1 species
UGGGGAAUAUUGGACAAUGGGGGGAACCCUGAUCCAGCCAUGCCGCGUGUGUGAAGAAGGCCUUAUGGUUGUAAAGCACUUUAAGCGAGGAGGAGGGUACUGGUAUUAAUACUACCAGGUACUGGACGUUACUCGCAGAAUAAGCACCGGCUAACUCUGUGCCAGCAGCCGCGGUAAUACAGAGGGUGCGAGCGUUAAUCGGAUUUACUGGGCGUAAAGCGUGCGUAGGCGGCUAAUUGAGUCGGAUGUGAAAUCCCCGAGCUUAACUUGGGAAUUGCAUUCGAUACUGGUUAGCUAGAGUGUGGGAGAGGAUGGUAGAAUUCCAGGUGUAGCGGUGAAAUGCGUAGAGAACUGGAGGAAUACCGAUGGCGAAGGCAGCCAUCUGGCCUAACACUGACGCUGAGGUACGAAAGCAUGGGGAGCAAACAGG